GUGGGAGGAGUCAGGGCUCUAACCGCGUGCCUGUUGAAGAAUGAGCCGGCGAUUCAUAGGCAGUGGCUUGGUUAAGGGAACUCACCGGAGCCAUAGCGAAAGCGAGUCUUCAUAGAGCAAUUGUCACUGCUUAUAGACCCGAACCUGAGUGAUUUAUCUACGAUCAGGAUGAAGCUUGGGUGAAACUACGUAAAGGUCCGAACCGACUGAUGUUGAAGAAUCAGCGGAUGAAUCGUAGUUAGGGGUGUAAUAAAUAUUUUGGAGAAAUUAUGUUUUUGUUGUUCCACCAGCUUCAGCCGCC
rnacentral:ncRNA from 1 species